GAAUAAAGUAAGAGCAAAAUGCGCCGAAUUAAAGCAACCGCAAUUUUAUAGAAACGUAAAUUAGUCACGCAAGAUGAUGAAGUGUGGGCUGUUUUUGCAAUGAGUGGAAAAGAGCCUUAAUUAAAGCGUUAUUGCUAUACAUGGUUGUAGACACAAGUCAUUAGCAAGUCGCUUGGUCAUCAUGCGCAAUAAUGACGUUUCCACUAACUAUAAUUAACUUUAAUCACUUUUUUAUACAGCCGGCCUCAGGCAAACUGCAAACUUCAAGAAUCAAUAUUUUCGGAAAAAAAAGCACGCGCUCUUCUUUAGUGGUAUUACUUAUACUUAAAGUUGCAUAUUUCCAUCGCCCCAGCGACUUAACGCUCCGAGGAGCGUCUUGUUCAAUUAAGGUUGUCCUUCCAAAACCUUAAACGUUAAACUCUGAGCGCGCAAUCUAAACUCUAUCAGCUAAUUCAAUUAAGGACAACCUUAAUUGAAUUAGCUGAUAUUACUUGCUACGAACGCGGUAAAAAAUUGCUUCUAUCUUGCUUUUAAAGUCAAAAAUAAAAAUUCAAACACCGUCAAUCGAUAGGGAAUAUUGCUUAGAAUAAUUAUGUCAAGUUUCAUUCCGGUCGGACAAGUAAUGACGGAGCCUUAGAGUUUUUUCAAAGAGCGUCCUCCCCUCCCCUCCCCCCCCCCAACAAGAAGAAGAUUGGCAGCGAUUGGAGACCAGUUCCUGAUCCAAAAAGUGUUGUAAAUUUUGUAUUAUUUGCCUUUCUUGUGUUUGUUAUGUCUCGCAUAAUGAAAUUGAUAAACUGGUAAAUAUAAGAUAUUUUAACGUUAAAAUGGAACAGGAUAAAUACAUCAGGUCGCCUUGAACCACAGUUAAUAAAAUAAGAUGGUUUGGGCUAGCUGGUUUUAAAAUAUGUUAUUAUUCUCGACUAUUGAGGUCACGUGACGCUUUUAGUGCAUCAGCGAUAAACAAUGAAUGCUUUACAAUAUGAGCGGCGACGCACUUCUACGCCGAAAACCUUCGAAUUAACUGCUUUUUCUAGCGAAUUUUGGAAAAAUCUCAGUAACUACGCUACGCCGGGUGCCAACUGUGCAAAGUAUGGCUGUUCGACAAGUCGAAAGAGUGGUCUUUCGUUAUUUAAGUUACCUUGACCUAGAGUGGAUAAUUGACAAGAGACGAGGGCUUCGAAGGAGAUUGCGCGUAAAGAAUGGCUACAUGGAUACUAAGAACAACGGAAAUGACCCCCGAACUGAAGCAGAAAAUCGAGGAAAAUAAGAUUUUCCUAUGUGAGCGUCAUUUCAAAGAAGAAUUGACAUCUGAUUGUAAGUACGGACUUUUUAUCUUUGAGCGAAAUAUUGUAAUUGCUCGGCCUUUGUCUUAUUGUGUAUGGUUGAAAUAUUGGCGGAUUAUAUAUUGAAUGUAUCUUAAAUACUAGUCUAGUAAUUGAAUUUUUGUCCUUUUGUAGACUGAAAGAGUUGAAAUCGUUAGAAACAGGAGCUGUUCCAACUGAAAAUCCAGAUUACUGAAUUACCAGAACUGAAUUACCAGAUUCGCUUUCAACAUCACUCUCAGAUUGUGGUAUUUCAUGUUCCUCCUUUGCCCUUUUUGACAAUAAAUACUCCUUUUUAAUUAAAUCUUUAUUAACCCCUGCUUCUACUAGACCUUUUGUAAACAGGUCGAGCCCUCGUGGUUCAGGAAUGUGAGAGUUGUAUGGUAAAAGUGCGUAUUGUAAAAAGUUCUCGAUGUUAGUUCCAGGAAUGUCUCUUCCAUGAUAAACAAUCUCACCCUGAGGAUUCCAAGUUAAAAUAUCACGUGAUAUAAGAAUAGAAUGUAGCAUAUUUUCUGCUGUAGUUUUUUUGACAUUAUUGUUCAGAUACAAAAGUAUAUCUUCAAUGCGCCAAUGUCGCGGAGAUGUUUUACUCUCGAUGUUCAUUGUUGAAAUGAUGUAUAAAUUGAAGUCACAGGGCUUUUAUACAAGUUCAGCCAGGCUUUCCAAAAUAGGACUUAGUAAUAGUCCAAGGAAACCUUCACCAUGUUGAACGAGUAUCUGUUUUUUUCUUCUUCCACAUUUUCCUCUAUCUACCAACCUAAGCAUUUCAUGUUUGUAAGGUCGGAGUUUCUUCAUUACAUGCUUAGGCAUUAAAUAUUUUCUUUUCAUAACGUUUUCUACACAGAGACACAGGCAGUGUACUUGCUCGGCGGUUGCUGUUUCCAGUAGUGCUUGUUGUUGAUCAGGCUCAGACGUGCCCAACAAUUCAUGAAAUAGCUUGCUCCUUAGAAGAUUGAUCAUUUCUGUUCAACGGUUUGGAAGCAAAUGAGUAAAACACAACAAUAAGGAAGCUUAUAUCGGAAGAGAGAAAGCAAUUUAUACAAGGCUCCGAGCUACUGAGAGCUCGACUCUGAGCUUAUCGAACUUGGCUCCUUGUGCAUGUCAGAUAAGGAAGAUAAGAGGAUAAAUAUAAGGAAGAUAAGCAUAAAGAUAAGAGGAUAAAUAUAAGGAAGAUAAUGAUAAGGAAGAUACGAAGAUAAAGAUAAUAAGAUAAAGAUAAGGAUAAAGAUAAAGAUAAAGAAGAUAAAGAUAACAAAAAGAUACGAAGAUAAAGAUAAGGAUAAGGAUAAAGAUAAGAAGAUAAAGAUAAAGAUAAGGAAGAUAAAGAUAAGGAUAAGAAUAAGAAUAAGGAACAUAAAGAUUAAGAUAAAGAUAAAGAUAAGAAGAUAAAGAUAAAGAUAAGGAUACUGAUAAGAAGAUAAAGGUAAAGAUAAGGAUAAGGAAGAUGAAGAUAAGGAUAAAGAUAAAGAUAAGGAUAAGGAUAAAGAUAAGAGGAUGAAGACAACGAUAAGGAAGAUAGGGAAGAUAAGGAAGAUAAAGAUAAGGAUAAGGAACAUAAAGAUUAAGAUAAGGAUAAAGAUAAGGAAGAUAAAGAUAAGGAUAAAGAUAAAGAUAAGGAUAAGGAUAAAGAUAAGGAAGAUAAGGAAGAUAAAGAUAAGGAAGAUAAAGAUAAGGAUAAAGAAGAUAAAGAUAAGGAAGAUAGAGACAAAUAAAGAUAAGGAAGAUAAAGAUAGGGAUAAAGAUAAAGAAGAUAAAGAUAAGGAAGAUAAGAAUAAAGAUGAGGAUAAGAAAAUAAAGAUAAAGAAUAUAAGGAAGAUAAAGAUAAGGAUAAAGAUAAGGAAGAUAAAGAUACACAACAAUACUGGAUAGAUGCAUUAAUGAAUAUAUAGAACGAAUGCGCCAACUUAUUAUCACUUCCAGCUAGACGUUCGUUGUGUGAACGUGUCCUUUCCGUGCAAAAUAUGUGCCAAAGUAUUUUCAACACGCGGCAACCUCAAGCGUCAUACUUUGAAUACCCAUGGAGAUGUUGAAAGCAAACCAGUUGAAAUCUCAGCAGGAUCUACAGUUUUGCAGCAUCCUUUCACACGUAUCGUAGCUGGGUGUACCCAAAGCGGCAAGACUGUAUGAGUAAAAUCUCUCUUGGAGAAUGCACAGAAAACUAUAAGUCCUGCUCCUCAACGUAUCAUUUGGUGUUAUGGUCAAUGGCAACCCUCCUAUUUUGAUAUGAUGAGAACGAUGCCUGGAAUCGAGUUUAAUCAAGGCAUCCCCGAAGACAUCGAAAACGCAGAUUACUUGGACGUAUCGCAACGGAAUUUUAUCGUAUUGGACGGCCUUAUGGCUCAAUCUGGCAAAGAUAAACGUAUUUCUUUCUGAUCUUUUUAACGAGCGAGGACGCUGAAAAAUGCGUAGUCAGCAAGUUUCGCCCGAUUGUGUUUAAACCUGCCCGCGUGACGUCAUUGCAUAUAAUUAUGACGUAUCUUAAUGAAUGACGUCAUUACGCACCCUGAUUUGUGUGAAUAUUAAUUAGCGCAGCCUUACGCAUCCUCCUUUGUAUGAAUAUUAAUUAUAUAUGAGGUGGUGGACACCCACCAUUAUAUAUGAGGUGGUGGACAUCCACCUCCUCGCGCAAAUCAGCAUUGGAUAUGCGUGGCACGUGUUCGUCACUGAACAGACUUUCCCUCGUUUGCAGCAAUCGUCAACGGUCCAGAGUGAUUGGGCUCGUACCAGAGCUCAUGUCGAUCGAUGUGCUCGCGGUUUGCGUUGAUUUCUUCCGCUAUCCACGCAAUGCAACCCAUCGCGUGGUCAUAAAUCCACUUGUCGAUUCCCGGUAGAGUUUGAGGCAAUGACGUUGUUGUGAAUAUCUCAAUUCUGCGCUUCACGUUAUCGUCUUCUUCUUUACCAAAAUUCGGGAGAUUAUUUGUGGUGAUGUAGAAGGGGCUAUUAUUUAAUACCGUCUUUGGUAGGCCGUGCUUUACCGCAGAGACCAUCCAUCCGCCUUGAAGGAUGCAUUUGGCAAGGUCGGAUUGCAUCGUGCUCGCCGACCACUCGUCCACGAGGACCAGCUGAGUUUCGUUGUUAAUCAUAGCCGCAGAAAAUUGUCUCUCGUUUGUGAGCGACGCAAUGUAGCUGGCGGGAAUAACACGAUGGAAUAUGUUGGACCAAGAUGUUUUGCCCGAAUCUUUGGGGCCAACCAAUACCAAUUUCCUCACCUUGUGGGGCAUGCUGAACGCGCGCAGGCACUGAUAGAGUUUAUUCAGGAACCGUACUCGCACGUCGUCAUCAGGAAAGGAGUUGACAAUGCCUUCUCGAAAAUACCCAGGCUUCGGCGGUUUGGAACUGUCAUAUGGAACAAAAGAUCUUGGCGACAGUUUUCGACGCAUGGAUUCCGGGAUAGGACAGACGAUGAACUUUCGGGCUUUGAUCGAGAAACAGUACCCGUUUGAUACUUCAAUGAGAUCCACGUCAAAUUUGAUCUGCUGAAUUAUUGCGCAU
rnacentral:lncRNA from 1 species